rnacentral:rRNA from 1 species
GAUGAACGCUGGCGGCGUGCCUAAUACAUGCAAGUCGAGCGAACAGACGAGGAGCUUGCUCCUUUGACGUUAGCGGCGGACGGGUGAGUAACACGUGGGUAACCUACCUAUAAGACUGGGAUAACUUCGGGAAACCGGAGCCAAUACCGGAUAAUAUUUCGAACCGCAUGGUUCGAUAGUGAAAGAUGGCUCUGCCAUCACUUAUAGAUGGACCUGCGCCGUAUUAGCUAGUUGGUAAGGUAACGGCUUACCAAGGCAACGAUACGUAGCCGGUCUGAGAGGGUGAUCGGCCACACUGGAACUGAGACACGGUCCAGACUCCUACGGGAGGCAGCAGUAGGGAAUCUUCGGCAAUGGGCGAAAGCCUGACGGAGCAACGCCGCGUGAAUGAUGAAGGUCUUCGGAUCGUAAAACUCUGUUAUUAGGGAAGAACAAACGUGUAAGUAACUGUGCACGUAUUGACGGUACCUAAUCAGAAAGCCACGGCUAACUACGUG